UACGUAGGGCGCAAGCGUUGUCCGGAAUCAUUGGGCGUAAAGAGCUCGUAGGCGGCCUGUCGCGUCCGCUGUGAAAUCCCGGGGCUUAACCCCGGGCGUGCAGUGGAUACGGGCUGGCUGGAGGCAGGCAGGGGAGAACGGAAUUCCCGGUGUAGCGGUGAAAUGCGCAGAUAUCAGGAGGAACACCGAUUGCGUAGGCAGCUCACUAAACUGUAACUGACGCUGAGGCACGAAAGCGUGGGGGAGCAAACAGG
rnacentral:rRNA from 1 species